GCCGGCUUAGCUCAGUUGGAAGAGUGGAUGAAGUGUAAUCAUCAGGUCGCCUGGUUCGAAUCCGGCAGUUGGCACCA
rnacentral:tRNA from 1 species